rnacentral:rRNA from 1 species
AUUGAACGCUGGCGGCAUGCUUUACACAUGCAAGUCGGACGGCAGCACAGAGAAGCUUGCUUCUUGGGUGGCGAGUGGCGAACGGGUGAGUAACAUAUCGGAACGUACCGAGCAGUGGGGGAUAACUAAUCGAAAGAUUAGCUAAUACCGCAUAUAUUCUGAGGAAGAAAGCAGGGGACCAUUUGGCCUUGCGCUGUUUGAGCGGCCGAUAUCUGAUUAGCUGGUUGGUGGGGUAAAGGCCUACCAAGGCGACGAUCAGUAGCGGGUCUGAGAGGAUGAUCCGCCACACUGGGACUGAGACACGGCCCAGACUCCUACGGGAGGCAGCAGUGGGGAAUUUUGGACAAUGGGCGCAAGCCUGAUCCAGCCAUGCCGCGUGUCUGAAGAAGGCCUUCGGGUUGUAAAGGACUUUUGUCAGGGAAGAAAAGGGCGGGGCUAAUACCCCCUGUCUGAUGACGGUACCUGAAGAAUAAGCACCGCUAAUAC